GUGCCAGGUGUGUUUAACCUGUGGCCAGGGAUGCAGUCGCGCUUGUCAUCAUCAAAAUGUGUGGGAUGCGAACUACGACCUAGAACGAGAAUAAAUUACCAUUAAGUGAAUGCUGUGAUAACGACACCAGCAGUUUUCUGUCACAGGUAUAAAGGCACUCUCGUUGACGCACUAAAUAUACGGCUUCCGAUGUCCCAAAUCUCCGAGAAGAUUUGUCUCUCACGCAGUCUAUGGUGAGGUGAGUGGAUACCUUGUUUUGACAACUUCCAUCCAAAGGUUUAGGAGAAUAAGAAGAACCAACCUAUGAUAAGGUGAUGGGGAGGCUGAAACACAUUGAUGCAUUUAUGCAGACACUGUAUUGCUGUCUUAUUUACUGUUUUACGCACAAAGACCAUUGGGAGUUUUACAAUAUUACGGACGUAUUUUCAGUGGAAUAGCCAGCUCAUGUAGCCCGAAUAUUGAAUUUUAUUGGAAGUCAUGCUACUCCAGCAUUACUGCGGUUUCUUGGACAAUAGAACAUGUAUUUACACAUUACCCGGGAAAAAGUGAAUUCUUAAUUAUAACAGAGAAAUUAAACUCCGACCAGAUCCAGUGAAUAACUCAAUAUCAGAAAUCUCUGUUCGCCCAUAUUUUCUCCUGCAUUAGUGCUUGUGAAACAAAGCAAAUCCAAAGAUACCCAUUCAGAUCAGUGACGAACCACAUCAAAAAUAUACAGUAUGUCCAGAACGCUGAAAAAGAAGAAACAUUGGUCCAGCAAGGUGCAGGAGUGUGCUGUGUCAUGGGGAAGCCUCGGAGAAUUCGGCAAUGUGGUGGAGGUGCUGGGGGGUGCUGAACACGGAGAGUUCCCUUACCUGGGCCAGAUGAAGUUGGAUGUGAUGUUGUGCCACGUCGGUACAAUGCCCUAUUUCGGUGACGUUUUGUUGGAGAUCAACGGAACACCCGUCAGUGGACUUACAAACCGCGACACGCAUGCUGUCAUUCGCCACUUUCGGGAGCCCAUUCGUUUGAAGACCGUCAAACCAGGGAAGGUUCUGAACACAGACCUGCGCCACUACCUAAGCCUGCAGUUCCAGAAGGGCUCGUUGGAUCACAAGCUCCAGCAGGUCAUCCGAGACAACCUCUACCUGCGCACCAUCCCCUGCACCACGCGGCUGCCCAGAGAAAGGGAGGUACCGGGUGUGGACUACAACUUCAUCAGCGUGGGAGACUUCCGUAUCCUGGAGGGGAGUGGCCUUCUGCUGGAGAGUGGAACCUACGAUGGUAACUACUAUGGGACCCCAAAGCCCCCAGCGGAGCCCACCCUGGUACAGCCUGACCUGGUGGAUCAGGUGCUGUUUGAUGAGGACUAUGACAACGAGGUCCAGCGAAAACGCACCACGUCAGUCAGCAAGAUGGACAGGAAGGACAGCGUGGUCCCUGAGGAAGAAGACGAUGAUGAGAGGCCACCUCUGGCCAACGGCCUCCCAGAGCACAAAGAAGGGGCAUCGUGGAGGAAGGCGGUGCCCAGCUACACCCAGUCCAGCAGUGCCAUGGACUUCCGUAUGUGGAGCUCUCUGCCCGGCGAUGACAGCCUGGAACCCCUGCCUCUCAACUGGGAGAUGGCCUACACCGAGACGGGCAUGGUCUACUUCAUAGAUCACAACAGCAAGACCACCACCUGGCUGGACCCCCGCCUGGCCAAGAAGGCCAAGCCCCCAGAGAAGUGUGAGGAUGGAGAGCUCCCGUAUGGCUGGGAGGAGAUAGAGGACCCACAGUAUGGAACAUAUUAUGUAGAUCACAUCAACCAGAGAACCCAGUUUGAGAACCCAGUCCUGGAGGCUAAGAGGAAGCUGAGCCAGGAGACUACUGUCUCUAUCCAGCAGGGGGCACCACCACCUCCAGGUGAGAGGGGUGCGUCAUGCUUCACCCCAGACCCGUCCCAGCUGCAGGGGGAGAUGUUCCACACUGCUCUGAGGAAAAGCUCCCAGGGCUUUGGCUUUACCAUCAUAGGGGGCGACCGCCAUGACGAGUUCCUGCAGGUGAAGAACGUCCUCAGCGACAGCCCUGCUGCCCAUGACAACAAGAUUUCCUCCGGCGAUGUGAUCGUGGAGAUCAACGGGAAAUGUGUGCUGGGGAAGACCCACCCUGAGGUGGUGCAGAUGUUCCAGUCCAUCCCAGUAAGUCAGUAUGUUGAUAUGGUGCUGUGCCGCGGCUACCCGCUGCCCCCAGAUGUGGCGGAGGACACCGAGAACCCCCCUCCCCCACCUCCUCCGCCCCUGCAGGGGGGCGAGGUGGUGACUGCCGUGCCCCUCAUCAAUGGCCAGCCCCUGCUGGUGAAGGGCGAUGUGCUGCACGGCUCCUCCCAGGAGCUCCACUACGUCACCACCGACGCCAGUGGACGGCCCAUGGUGGCCGCGCUGCCCAACGGGAGGCUCUCUGAGCAGGGGGGAACAGGCCUGCUGCAGCCCGAGCUGGUGAGCGUGCCCCUGGUGAAGGGCCCGGGAGGGUUUGGCUUUGCCAUCGCAGACUGUCCCCUUGGCCAGAAGGUGAAGAUGAUCCUAGACGCCCAGUGGUGCCGCGGCCUGCUUAAAGGGGACGUGAUCAAGGAGAUCAACCGUCAGAAUGUUCAGACUCUGAGCCACGCCCAGGUGGUGGACAUCCUCAAAGACCUACAGGUGGGGAGCGAGGUCAACGUACUGGUGCUCAGAGGAGGUCAGACAUCUCCUGUGAAGAGCCUGAAACCUAGGCAGGAAAUUACAUCUAGCACAGAGACUCUGGACUGUGUCACAGACUCUGUCCCCCAGGCCCUCCCUUUCCACUCCAACACUUCAACCCUGCGCAACAACUCCCCCAAACGAGACGCCACAGAGAUGUACCUCAAGUCCAAGGCCCUGCUGGAGAGCAAGCAGCCUCACACCAAAGACCUGGAUGUGUUCAUCAAGAGGGACCAGGAGACUGGCUUUGGCUUCCGUGUUCUGGGAGGAGAAGGUCCAGAGCAGCCAGUGUAUAUUGGUGCCAUCGUGCACCUUGGUGCAGCUGAGAAGGAUGGACGCCUGAGGGCUGGUGAUGAGCUCAUAGGCAUCGAUGGAAUCAUGGUCAAGGGCCGUUCCCACAAGCAGGUUCUGGACCUGAUGACUAACGCUGCCCGCAAUGGUCAGGUCAUGCUGACCGUGCGUCGGAAAGUCAUCUACAGAGAUAUGACUGAGGAGGAGGCAGGGCUCCACAUGGCUCCAGUGUUGGUGAACGGCUCCCCCAGACUCCCUCGUAUCCAGAUGCCCAGUGUGCUGGAACACGAGUCCUUCGACAUCACCCUCCACCGCAAGGACAGCGAGGGCUUCGGCUUCGUCAUCCUCACCUCCAAGAGCAAGCCCCCGCUAGGGGUGAUCCCUCAUAAGAUCGGACGCAUCAUCGAAGGCAGCCCCACUGACCGCUGUGGCCUGCUCAAUGUAGGCGACCGCAUCUCAGCGGUCAACGGGCGGUCCAUCGUGGGGCUGUCUCACAAUGACAUCGUUCAGCUCAUCAAGGAUGCUGGCAAUGCUGUCACCCUUACUGUGGUUCCCGAGGACGAAUACAAGGGCCCUCCCUCUGGUGCCAGCUCAGCCAAGCAGAGCCCCGCCCCUCAUCACAGAGCUAUGGGUCAGAGGUCAGCUAUGCAUGAUGAGCGUUAUAACCUAGAUCUGGAGGAGGAGAAGAGGGAGGGAGUCACCUGGGCUGACUACAAAACUCUGCCUCUGAGCGAACAGGGAACAAUGUGUGUUACAGGCCCCAGACAGGCAAGGCUCAUACCAUUAUUACUGUCAUUGUUUUUAUCUGGUGUUUUAGAGAUUUUACAUCAAUCAAAUAAUAUAUGACACAGAAAAAACUGCACUAAGUUAUAACUUAAGUUAUAACGUGUGUGUACGUGCUUGUGUGUGUGUGUGUGAGUGCAUGUGCUUACGUGCAUGUGAGUGUGUGUGUUUGCAUGCUUGCGUGUGUGUGUACAUAUGUGUGUGUGUACGCAUGCGCCACGCAGGGCUGUAUCACGGUGGAGCUGGACCGGGGGUCCCGGGGUUUUGGCUUCAGUCUGAGGGGAGGGACAGAGUACAACAUGGGCCUGUACAUCCUGAGACUGGCUGAGGAGGGGCCUGCCCUGCUGGACAGCAGGAUCCAUGUGGGGGAUCAGGUAGUGGAGAUCAAUGGAGAGCCGACCCAGGGGAUCACCCAUACCCGCGCCAUUGAGCUGAUCCAGGCUGGAGGCAGCAAAGUGCUGCUCCUGUUAAGGCCAGGGCAGUGUCUGGUACAAGACAACAGUGAUUGCGUCCCCUCUACUGUGUGCUAUUACUCAAACGAGCACCACCACUAACCACUUCACUGUUUUUACUGGCCUGUCCUCUUUUACCUUGGUAAAUUGGAUCCAACUGUCACUUCAUCCACAAGCUUUCCUAGAGAGGCGCUUGUCUCAGAGACAUCCCCUCUCGCUUCUCCAUUCUCCACCUGCACCUUCACCUCAGGUUCCUCCUCUUUCACCAGUGAGACCCCUGACUGGAACUCCCUGUCCCACCGAACGCUCCACCCCCAGUGCAGCAGGGGCACUGGCUCAGUGGAGUGGAAUGGAGAGUGGGCAGACAGGCAGGCUGACAGGCUCUCUCCCAUUACCCCUGAGCAGAUCAACCUCUAUAAGGUCAAACCAGGUCAUACCAGGUCUAAAGACUCCAAGGAGCCCAGCAGCCCAAAGAAAACAGGUGAAACAUUCUCUAAAGCCAAAGAGCACUCACAGAGUCCCACAAAGUCUGAGAGGAAGGGACAGGAAGUCCCACUGCCAGAAAGGAAGUUGGUCACCCAGCCCCAAGAAGUCUUCUCGAAAAGACAGGAAGCCUCGAGCCAGCUGCAAGUAAAGAAACAGCAGGUACAGCAGAGCACAUCAAAGGAGCAUUCCAGCAAGGAGCCCUUUGAUGAAAACAAAAACAGCAAAAGGGGAGAUUCAAAGGGCAGGAAAAGCACACAGGAGAGAGAAGGGAUAACGGGAAAGACCAAGGCUGCCCAUGGCCAGGUCAGUAUUGAAAAGAAGUGGGGACAGAGGCAGGACAUCACAUGCCAACCCCUAUGGAGACAGGGGCAUGGAGAGAUAUUAUGAAAGUUACUCUAGAGAAGAGUAAACCUCAAGAUGGAGAAAAGGAAAAACGCAAAGAGCAGACAAGCAAAAAAUACAUAGGGGCUUCCUUAAAAGAGGCAAAGACUAGAAAAUAUUAUGAGGCCUCUACAACAGAGGAAAAGAGUAUAAAAGACACACAGGCCUCUACAAAUGCCAUUCAGCAGGAUACUCUGAACCAAAAGGAUCAGAUUAGCCCGGGUCCCUAGAAAGUCCCCAGCUCAGCCAGAAUCCUCUCCCAGGCUGAGGUGCUGCGUAAUCCCCCUUACUGAUACAGUAUGGACAACACUGUGUGGACACAUAAUACACAGACUUGAGCUGUACCACAACAUGCUGUAUAUUGUUGGUCUGUUUCUUUUUCCAAUGAGAGGGAUGGACGAGGAAUGGCAGGAAUGCCAUGUGUCAUGUCCAUCUGUGUCCGUGAAGAGGACUUUUUUAAGCUCUAUUGGUCUUUGACAUUAGGAAUGGCGUGUAAAGCCAACACUCAUCUCUUCCUGCCUCGUGUGCUGCUUCAGACAUCUCUGAUCUGGGCCAUACGCAUGUUUGGAAUGUUUAGGGCCUAUUCUUGGACAUCUUGUGGAAUGAAAACUAACCAUACUUCACCCAUUAUAAUGCAAUUAUUAUCCCAUAUGCAACCAAGCAGAAAGGUCUUUAACACACACAAAGUUAAGCUGUCAGUAAAGGUUUUAUUUUCAUGUUGGGUAUCUACAGAAAGCACCUUGGGAUUGGCCUUUUCACAUGGCACUCUUUUCCCAAGGGAUUUGCUCAACUGCAUGCAGUCCGUACGUUUAUUUUAUUGCACGCCUUUACCACUCCACUGAGUAUGAUCCUUUCACCUGAUGUGAAAAUACUGAUGCCGAAGUUCUGACCUUAACACCAUGUAGAGAUUUCAGACUUUAUUCAGAAAGCAUUAGCUUUACGAAGGAUUCUAGACUGUUCUAAGACAAUAGACAUGAUUCGUGAAUACAAAAUAUAUCAUUACAAAAGACCAGAAACUUGUGGUUUGAGAUAUUGUUUACCAUGUGUAUGAUAACCUAUGUGUAAUUUAUUGAAAUUAUAGAUUAAUAUAGAUAUACAGUACCAGUCAAAAGUUUGGACACACUUACUCAUUCAAGG